CACGAACCGUACAAACGUUAUUCGGAAUCACUGGGCUUAAAGGGUGCGUAGGCGGCCUGGAAAGUUGGGUGUGAAAUCCCUCGGCUCAACCGAGGAAUUGCGCUCAAUACUGCCAGGCUAGAGGGAGACAGAGGUAAGCGGAACUUAGGGUGGAGCGGUGAAAUGCGUUGAUAUCCUAAGGAACACCAGUGGCGAAGGCGGCUUACUGGGUCUCUUCUGACGCUGAGGCACGAAAGCUGGGGGAGCGAACGGG
rnacentral:rRNA from 1 species